AAUGAACGUUGGCGGCGUGGAUUAGGCAUGCGAGUCGCGCGAGAAUGUAGCAAUACAGGACAGCGGCGAAAGGGAGAGGACAACAUGGGAAUCUGCCCUGGGGACGAGGAUAGCGUCGGGAAACUGACAGUAAUACUCGAUAAUGUUUGCGGACCAAAGGUGUGAUUCCGCCCCAGGAUGAGCCCGUGCCCCAUUAGCUUGUUGGCAGGGUAACGGCCUACCAAGGCUAUGAUGGGUAGCUGGUGUGAGAGCACGACCAGCCUCACUGGCACUGAGACACUGGCCAGACACCUACGGGUGGCUGCAGUCGAGAAUCUUUGGCAAUGGACGAAAGUCUGACCAAGCGACGCCGCGUGCGGGAUGAAGGCCUCGGUUGUAACCGACUGUCGUAGGAAGUCAAAUAGUAUUGGGGUACGUCCCCGUCCUACUUCGAGAGAUCCUAGGAGGAAGGAGAGGCGUAAGACUCGUGCCAGCACGCCGCGGU
rnacentral:rRNA from 1 species